CCUACGGGUGGCAGCAGUGAGGAAUAUUGGUCAAUGGCCGUAAGGCUGAACCAGCAAAGUCGCGUGAAGGAAGAAGGAUUUAUGGUUUGUAAACCUCUUUUAUAGGGGAAUAAAGGUAUCCACGUGUGGAUAUUUGCAUGUCCCCUAUGAAUCCGCAUCGGCUAACUCCGUGCCAGCCGCCGCGGUAAUCCGGAGGAUGCGAGCGUUAGCCGGUUUUAUUGGGUUUAUAGGGUGCGUAGGUUGUUUUUUAAGUCAGCGGUGAAAGUUUGUGGCUCAACCAUAAAAUGGCCGUUGAUACUGGAAGACUUGAGUGUGGUUGAGGUAGGCGGAAUGCGUGGUGUAGCGGUGAAAUGCAUAGAUAUCACGCAGAACUCCGAUUGCGAAAGCAGCUUACUAAGCCGUAACUGACACUGAAGCACGAAAGCGUGGGGAUCAAACAGGAUUAGAUACCCGAGUAGUC
rnacentral:rRNA from 1 species